rnacentral:sRNA from 1 species
CUACUUCAAUUUGUUGGGGACAAAUAAAAUGGAUAUGGCUAUCUAUACCACCAGCCGUUAGGAUCAUUCCUUCACAUGCGAUCGCUUCUGUCCCCGGACCAAUAAUAAUAUCUAUAUUGUCUUGAAUAUAGGGAUUUCCAGCUUUCCCAAUUUUGUGUAUUUUCCCAUCUUUGAUGCCAAUAUCAGCUUUGACAAUUCCCCACCAAUCGAGGAUCAAAGCAUUGGUAAUCACCACAUCCACCGCACCAUCAGCAUUGGAAAUCGGCGAUUGUCCCAUCCCAUCGCGG